rnacentral:rRNA from 1 species
GGUAGCAAUACUGGGUGGCGACCGGCAAACGGGUGCGGAACACGUACGCAACCUUCCUUCAAGUGGGGGAUAGCCCAGGGAAACUUGGAUUAAUACCCCGUAACAUUGUGAGAUGGCAUCAUCUUAUAAUUAAAGCUACGGCGCUUGGAGAUGGGCGUGCGGCUGAUUAGGUAGUUGGCGGAGUAAUAGCCCACCAAGCCUGCGAUCAGUAACUGGUGUGAGAGCACGACCAGUCACACGGGCACUGAGACACGGGCCCGACUCCUACGGGAGGCAGCAGUAAGGAAUAUUGGUCAAUGGACGCAAGUCUGAACCAGCCAUGCCGCGUGGAGGAUGAAGGCCCUCUGGGUUGUAAACUUCUUUUAUCUGGGAAGAAACCCAUCUUUUCUAAGGUGGUUGACGGUACCAGUUGAAUAAGCACCGGCUAACUCCGUGCCAGCAGCCGCGGUAAUACGGAGGGUGCAAGCGUUAUCCGGAUUCACUGGGUUUAAAGGGUGCGUAGGUGGGCAGGUAAGUCAGUGGUGAAAUCUCCGGGCUUAACCCGGAAACUGCCGUUGAUACUAUCUGUCUUGAAUAUCGUGGAGGUGAGCGGAAUAUGUCAUGUAGCGGUGAAAUGCUUAGAUAUGACAUAGAACAUCAAUUGCGAAGGCAGUUCGCUACACGGUUAUUGACACUGAGGCACGAAAGCGUGGGGAUCAAACAGGAUUAGAUACCCUGGUAGUCCACGCCCUAAACGAUGAUUACUCGACAUGUGCGAUACACUGUACGUGUCUGAGCGAAAGCAUUAAGUAAUCCACCUGGGAAGUACGACCGC